UCCUACGGGAGGCAGCAGUAGGGAAUUUUCCGCAAUGGGCGAAAGCCUGACGGAGCAAUCUCGCGUGAGGGAUGACGGCCUAUGGGUUGUAAACCUCUUUUUUCAGGGAGGAAUAAAUGACGUGUACCUGAAGAAUAAGCAUCGGCUAACUCCGUGCCAGCAGCCGCGGUAAU
rnacentral:rRNA from 1 species